rnacentral:rRNA from 1 species
UACAGAGGUCUCAAGCGUUGUUCGGAUUCAUUGGGCGUAAAGGGUGCGUAGGCGGCGCGGUAAGUCGGGUGUGAAAUCUUGGAGCUUAACUCCGAAACUGCAUUCGAUACUGCCGUGCUUGAGGACUGGAGAGGAGACUGGAAUUUACGGUGUAGCGGUGAAAUGCGUAGAUAUCGUAAGGAAGACCAGUGGCGAAGGCGGGUCUCGUGGACAGUUCCUGACGCUG